GAUGAACGCUGGCGGCGUGCCUAAUACAUGCAAGUCGAGCGAACGGACGAGAAGCUUGCUUCUCUGAUGUUAGCGGCGGACGGGUGAGUAACACGUGGAUAACCUACCUAUAAGACUGGGAUAACUUCGGGAAACCGGAGCUAAUACCGGAUAAUAUUUUGAACCGCAUGGUUCAAAAGUGAAAGACGCUCUUGCUGUCACUUAUAGAUGGAUCCGCGCUGCAUUAGCUAGUUGGUAAGGUAACGGCUUACCAAGGCAACGAUGCAUAGCCGACCUGAGAGGGUGAUCGGCCACACUGGAACUGAGACACGGUCCAGACUCCUACGGGAGGCAGCAGUAGGGAAUCUUCCGCAAUGGGCGAAAGCCUGACGGAGCAACGCCGCGUGAGUGAUGAAGGUCUUCGGAUCGUAAAACUCUGUUAUUAGGAAAGAACAUAUGUGUAAGUAAAUGUGCACGUCUUGACGGUACCUAAUCAGAAAGCCACGGCUAACUACGUG
rnacentral:rRNA from 1 species